rnacentral:rRNA from 1 species
GUGGGGAAUAUUGGACAAUGGGCGAAAGCCUGAUCCAGCCAUGCCGCGUGUGUGAAGAAGGUCUUCGGAUUGUAAAGCACUUUAAGUUGGGAGGAAGGGCAGUAAGUUAAUACCUUGCUGUUUUGACGUUACCGACAGAAUAAGCACCGGCUAACUUCGUGCCAGCAGCCGCGGUAAUACGAAGGGUGCAAGCGUUAAUCGGAAUUACUGGGCGUAAAGCGCGCGUAGGUGGUUUUGUAAGUUGGAGGUGAAAUCCCCGGGCUCGACCUGGGAACUGCCUACAAAACUGCAUGACUAGAGUACGGUAGAGGGUAGUGGAAUUUCCUGUGUAGCGGUGAAAUGCGUAGAUAUAGGAAGGAACACCAGUGGCGAAGGCGACUACCUGGACUGAUACUGACACUGAGGUGCGAAAGCGUGGGGAGCAAACAGGAUUAGAAACCCUAGUAGUCC